GACGUAGGGCGCGAGCGUUGUCCGGAUUUAUUGGGCGUAAAGAGCUCGUAGGCGGCUUGUCGCGUCGACCGUGAAAACUCGCAGCUCAACUGCGAGCCUGCGGUCGAUACGGGCAGGCUAGAGUUCGGUAGGGGAGACUGGGAAUUCCUGGAUGUAGCGGUGAAAUGCGCAGAUAUCAGGAGGAACACCGAUGGGCGAAGGCAGGUCUCUGGGCCGAUACUGACGCUGAGGAGCGAAAGCGUGGGGAGCGAACAGG
rnacentral:rRNA from 1 species